rnacentral:rRNA from 1 species
AACCUCCGCAAUGCGAGCAAUCGGGACGGGGGGACCCCAAGUGCCACUCUUAACGGGGUGGCUUUUCUUAAGUGUAAAAAGCUUUUGGAAUAAGGGCUGGGCAAGACCGGUGC